rnacentral:rRNA from 1 species
GAUGAACGCUGGCGGCGUGCCUAAUACAUGCAAGUCGAGCGAACGGACGAGAAGCUUGCUUCUCUGAUGUUAGCGGCGGACGGGUGAGUAACACGUGGAUAACCUACCUAUAAGACUGGGAUAACUUCGGGAAACCGGAGCUAAUACCGGAUGAUAUUUUGAACCGCAUGGUUCAAAAGUGAAAGACGGUCUUGCUGUCACUUAUAGAUGGAUCCGCGCUGCAUUAGCUAGUUGGUAAGGUAACGGCUUACCAAGGCAACGAUGCAUAGCCGACCUGAGAGGGUGAUCGGCCACACUGGAACUGAGACACGGUCCAGACUCCUACGGGAGGCAGCAGUAGGGAAUCUUCCGCAAUGGGCGAAAGCCUGACGGAGCAACGCCGCGUGAGUGAUGAAGGUCUUCGGAUCGUAAAACUCUGUUAUUAGGGAAGAACAUAUGUGUAAGUAACUGUGCACAUCUUGACGGUACCUAAUCAGAAAGCCACGGCUAACUACGUGCCAGCAGCCGCGGUAAUACGUAGGUGGCAAGCGUUAUCCGGAAUUAUUGGGCGUAAAGCGCGCGUAGGCGGUUUUUUAAGUCUGAUGUGAAAGCCCACGGCUCAACCGUGGAGGGUCAUUGGAAACUGGAAAACUUGAGUGCAGAAGAGGAAAGUGGAAUUCCAUGUGUAGCGGUGAAAUGCGCAGAGAUAUGGAGGAACACCAGUGGCGAAGGCGACUUUCUGGUCUGUAACUGACGCUGAUGUGCGAAAGCGUGGGGAUCAAACAGGAUUAGAUACCCUGGUAGUCCACGCCGUAAACGAUGAGUGCUAAGUGUUAGGGGGUUUCCGCCCCUUAGUGCUGCAGCUAACGCAUUAAGCACUCCGCCUGGGGAGUACGACCGCAAGGUUGAAACUCAAAGGAAUCGACGGGGACCCGCACAAGCGGUGGAGCAUGUGGUUUAAUUCGAAGCAACGCGAAGAACCUUACCAAAUCUUGACAUCCUUUGACAACUCUAGAGAUAGAGCCUUCCCCUUCGGGGGACAAAGUGACAGGUGGUGCAUGGUUGUCGUCAGCUCGUGUCGUGAGAUGUUGGGUUAAGUCCCGCAACGAGCGCAACCCUUAAGCUUAGUUGCCAUCAUUAAGUUGGGCACUCUAAGUUGACUGCCGGUGACAAACCGGAGGAAGGUGGGGAUGACGUCAAAUCAUCAUGCCCCUUAUGAUUUGGGCUACACACGUGCUACAAUGGACAAUACAAAGGGCAGCGAAACCGCGAGGUCAAGCAAAUCCCAUAAAGUUGUUCUCAGUUCGGAUUGUAGUCUGCAACUCGACUACAUGAAGCUGGAAUCGCUAGUAAUCGUAGAUCAGCAUGCUACGGUGAAUACGUUCCCGGGUCU